UACGUAGGUGGCGAGCGUUGUCCGGAUUUACUGGGCGUAAAGAGCGCGCAGGCGGUCGUUCAAGUCGCGUGUGAAAGCCCCCGGCUCAACUGGGGAGGGUCACGCGAUACUGAUCGACUCGAAGGCAGGAGAGGGAAGUGGAAUUCCCGGUGUAGAGGUGAAAUUCGUAGAUAUCGGGAGGAACACCGGUGGCGAAGGCGGCGAUCUGGGUCGAUACUGACGCUGAGGUGCGAAAGCGUGGGGAGCAAACAGG
rnacentral:rRNA from 1 species